rnacentral:rRNA from 1 species
AGAGUUUGAUCCUGGCUCAGAACGAACGCUGGCGGCGUGCUUAAUACAUGCAAGUCGAACGAGAAAGUCAUUCUUCGGAAAGACGAGUAAAGUGGCGAACGGGUGCGUAACACGUGGGCAAUCUGCCCUCAGGUUUGGAAUAAGCCUCCGAAAGGGGGUCUAAUACCGAAUAACAUCACGAGAUGGCAUCGUCUUGUGAUCAAAGGUGGUGAAAGCUAUCGCCAGAGGAUGAGCCCGCGGUACAUUAGCUUGUUGGUGGGGUAAAGGCCUACCAAGGCUGCGAUGUAUAGCCGGCCUGGGAGGGUGACCGGCCACACUGGGACUGAGAUACGGCCCAGACUCCUACGGGAGGCAGCAGUAGGGAAUAUUGCGCAAUGCCCGAAAGGGUGACGCAGCAACGCCGCGUGUGGGAUGAAGCAUCUUGGUGUGUAAACCACUGUCAGAUGGGACGAACAGCUACGGAAAGAAACGUCCGUAGCCUGACGGUACCUUCAGAGGAAGCUCCGGCCAACUCCGUGCCAGCAGCCGCGGUAACACGGGGGGAGCAAGCGUUGUUCGGAAUUACUGGGCGUAAAGGGUGCGCAGGCGGAAAGGCAGGUCAGAUGUGAAAACUCAGGGCUCAACCCUGAGCCUGCAUCUGAAACCAUCUUUCUUGAGUAUCAGAGAGGAAAGCGGAACUCCAGGUGUAGCGGUGAAAUGCGUAGAUAUCUGGAGGAACACCGGUGGCGAAGGCGGCUUUCUGGCUGAAUACUGACGCUCAUGCACGAAGGCUGGGGUAGCAAACAGGAUUAGAUACCCUGGUAGUCCCAGCAGUAAACGAUGGACACUAGGUGUUGGGGGAGUCGACCCCCUCAGUGCCGAAGCUAACGCAUUAAGUGUCCCGCCUGGGGAGUACGACCGCAAGGUUGAAACUCAAAGGAAUUGACGGGGGCCCGCACAAGCAGUGGAGCAUGUGGUUUAAUUCGACGCAACGCGAAGAACCUUACCUGGGUUUGAAAUGUUCAGGAAAAUCUCAGAGAUGAGAUCCCUCCGCAAGGAGUCUGUUCACAGGUGCUGCAUGGCUGUCGUCAGCUCGUGCCGUGAGGUGUUGGGUUAAGUCCCGCAACGAGCGCAACCCCUGUCUCUAGUUGCCAGCGAUUCGGUCGGGGACUCUAGAGAGACUGCCGGUGACAAGCCGGAGGAAGGUGGGGAUGACGUCAAGUCCUCAUGGCCCUUACAUCCAGGGCUACACACGUGCUACAAUGACCGGUACAGAGGGCCGCAAGACCGCGAGGUGGAGCUAAUCCCUAAAACCGGCCUCAGUUCGGAUUGGAGUCCGCAACUCGACUCCAUGAAGUCGGAAUUGCUAGUAAUCGCGAAUCAGCAGGUCGCGGUGAAUACGUUCCCGGGCCUUGUACACACCGCCCGUCAAGCCAUGGAAGCCGGGAGUACACGAAAUCGUUGAGCUAACCGUAAGGAGGCCAACGCCUAAGGUAAAAUCGGUGACUGGGGCUAAGUCGUAACAAGGUA